rnacentral:rRNA from 1 species
UCGACCCCUAAGGCGAGGCCGAAAGGCGUAGUCGAUGGGAAACGGGUUAAUAUUCCCGUACUUGGUGUUACUGCGAAGGGGGGACGGAGAAGGCUAUGUUGGCCGGGCGACGGUUGUCCCGGUUUAAGCGUGUAGGUGUGUGUUCCAGGUAAAUCCGGUUCACUUUAACACUGAGGCGUGAUGACGAGGCACUACGGUGCUGAAGCAACAAAUGCCCUGCUUCCAGGAAAAGCCUCUAAGCAUCAGGUAACAUCAAAUCGUACCCCAAACCGACACAGGUGGUCAGGUAGAGAAUACCAAGGCGCUUGAGAGAACUCGGGUGAAGGAACUAGGCAAAAUGGUGCCGUAACUUCGGGAGAAGGCACGCUGACACGUAGGUGAAGUGAUUUACUCAUGGAGCUGAAGUCAGUCGAAGAUACCAGCUGGCUGCAACUGUUUAUUAAAAACACAGCACUGUGCAAACACGAAAGUGGACGUAUACGGUGUGACGCCUGCCCGGUGCCGGAAGGUUAAUUGAUGGGGUCAGCGCAAGCGAAGCUCCUGAUCGAAGCCCCGGUAAACGGCGGCCGUAACUAUAACGGUCCUAAGGUAGCGAAAUUCCUUGUCGGGUAAGUUCCGACCUGCACGAAUGGCGUAAUGAUGGCCAGGCUGUCUCCACCCGAGACUCAGUGAAAUUGAACUCGCUGUGAAGAUGCAGUGUACCCGCGGCAAGACGGAAAGACCCCGUGAACCUUUACUAUAGCUUGACACUGAACAUUGAGCCUUGAUGUGUAGGAUAGGUGGGAGGCUUUGAAGUGUGGACGCCAGUCUGCAUGGAGCCGACCUUGAAAUACCACCCUUUAAUGUUUGAUGUUCUAACGUGGACCCGUAAUCCGGGUUGCGGACAGUGUCUGGUGGGUAGUUUGACUGGGGCGGUCUCCUCCUAAAGAGUAACGGAGGAGCACGAAGGUUGGCUAAUCCUGGUCGGACAUCAGGAGGUUAGUGCAAUGGCAUAAGCCAGCUUGACUGCGAGCGUGACGGCGCGAGCAGGUGCGAAAGCAGGUCAUAGUGAUCCGGUGGUUCUGAAUGGAAGGGCCAUCGCUCAACGGAUAAAAGGUACUCCGGGGAUAACAGGCUGAUACCGCCCAAGAGUUCAUAUCGACGGCGGUGUUUGGCACCUCGAUGUCGGCUCAUCACAUCCUGGGGCUGAAGUAGGUCCCAAGGGUAUGGCUGUUCGCCAUUUAAAGUGGUACGCGAGCUGGGUUUAGAACGUCGUGAGACAGUUCGGUCCCUAUCUGCCGUGGGCGCUGGAGAACUGAGGGGGGCUGCUCCUAGUACGAGAGGACCGGAGUGGACGCAUCACUGGUGUUCGGGUUGUCAUGCCAAUGGCACUGCCCGGUAGCUAAAUGCGGAAGAGAUAAGUGCUGAAAGCAUCUAAGCACGAAACUUGCCCCGA